GUGCUGGGCACUGUUCUAGGAGCUGGGGACACGGCAGUGGACUGCAUGGACAGAGUCCUGCUCUUGUGCAGCUUUCUCAUUCUAGCGGGGAAGAGAGCCAGUAAAAUAAAUGAAUACAUGUGUGACGUGGUGUGCUGGAUGGUGAUAAGUGCUCUGGAGAAAGCUGAGGGCCGUUUGGGUUGUUUCCACCUUCUGGCUGCUGUGACUAGCGCCGUAAUGGCCACGGGGUGCAAGCGUUCGUGGGGACACAGUCUUCAUUUCUCGGGAGUACACCCAGCAGUGGACCAGCCGUUUCCAGACUCUUCUCCCAGCCCAACCCGCAGCGCACGAGAGCUGCCAUUCCUCCACAUCUGUGCGACAGUCGCGGGCUGUCUUCUGACCCUGGGAGGCUCGGAGCCGAGCAGCAGAGUCACCUGACCAGGUUGUUGCAGAACCUUCUGACGUCCGUGCUGACCACGCUUUACUAUCACUCAUCUCCCUUCUUCUGAGUUCGUGUCUUUCCUCAUCCCAGCCCGGCCUCUUUCUAAAUCGUGAUGGUCUUUUCUCCCGCUUCGGAGGUCACCCUGCCCCCACCAUCGGAAGCAACUCCCCUCAGCGAGGUCACAGCUGGUCACAUGUGUCAAACGUCCUUUCAUCUCUGCCUUUCUCUUGUCAAGUGAUGGCGCUGCGUGACACAAGGGCCUUCCUGCUGCGGCCUUGGGGCUCUCUGGGGUAAGCGCCAUGCACAUCCAGACCUUGAAGUCUUAGUAAUAAAUAAAAGCC
rnacentral:lncRNA from 1 species